rnacentral:rRNA from 1 species
CCUACGGGCGGCUGCAGUGAGGAAUAUUGGUCAAUGGACGCAAGUCUGAACCAGCCAUGCCGCGUGCAGGAUGACGGCUCUAUGAGUUGUAAACUGCUUUUGUACGAGGGUAAACCCCGCUACGUGUAUCGUGUUGAACGUAUCGUACGAAUAAGGAUCGGCUAACUCCGUGCCAGCAGCCGCGGUAAUACGGAGGAUCCGAGCGUUAUCCGGAUUUAUUGGGUUUAAAGGGUGCGAAGGCGGUUUGAUAAGUUAGAGGUGAAAUGUCGGGGCUCAACCCCGAAACUGCCUCUAAUACUGUUGGACUAGAGAAUAGUUGCGGUAGGCGGAAUGUAUGGUGUAGCGGUGAAAUGCUUAGAGAUCAUACAGAACACCGAUUGCGAAGGCAGCUUACCAAACUAUAUCUGACGUUGAGGCACGAAAGCGUGGGUAGCAAACAGGAUUAGAUACCCGGGUAGUC